rnacentral:rRNA from 1 species
UCGAACGCACCUUUCGGGGUGAGUGGCAGACGGGUGAGUAACGCGUGGGAAUCUACCCUUCUCUACGGGAUAGCUCCGGGAAACUGGAAUUAAUACCGUAUACGUCCUGAGGGAGAAAGAUUUAUCGGGGAAGGAUGAGCCCGCGUUGGAUUAGCUAGUUGGUGGGGUAAAGGCCUACCAAGGCGACGAUCCAUAGCUGGUCUAAGAGGAUGAUCAGCCACAUUGGGACUGAGACACGGCCCAAACUCCUACGGGAGGCAGCAGUG